GAUGAACGCUGGCGGCGUGCCUAACACAUGCAAGUCGAGCGCGAUUAAGUGGAGUGGAGACUUCGGUCAAAGCGAAGCUUAUGAAAGCGGCGGACGGGUGAGUAACGCGUGGGCAACCUGCCCCAUACAGAGGGAUAGCCACUGGAAACGGUGAUUAAUACCUCAUGAGUCAGUAACAUCGCAUGAUGUAGCUGACAAAGAUUUAUCGGUAUGGGAUGGGCCCGCGUCUGAUUAGCUAGUUGGUGAGGUAACGGCUCACCAAGGCGACGAUCAGUAGCCGACCUGAGAGGGUGAUCGGCCACACUGGAACUGAGACACGGUCCAGACUCCUACGGGAGGCAGCAGUGGGGAAUAUUGCACAAUGGGCGCAAGCCUGAUGCAGCAACGCCGCGUGAGUGAUGAAGGCCUCGG
rnacentral:rRNA from 1 species